AAAGUUGAAAAGUCACUGUUAACCUGUUCGGCGGGACCUUUACAACCAAACUGUCUCCGGUGCGGCGGUUUCCGGCGAAAAAGACGAAGCGCGAACAGAUCAAAUUCGAUCUGUGCGUUUCCUGCACGCGGCGGCGGAAGAAGCUCGGUUGCUGUCGCGGUGCGGGACGAUCUGUCGGCGCGACCAGAGCAGAUCGAGACGAGGGACCGCGCGGCUUGGAGAAGACGACUGGUCCGCGGUCACUGGAAGAACAACAGAUCGGGUCCGCGUGAGGAGGGCCGGAGAAGGGAAACCGAAGGCGGAUCCGAGACGUCCGGCCUUGUCUGUGCGCGAAACCAGAGCCGGUGAGGGAGAACGCGCGCCGGAGAAGACAAACCAGCGCGGCGGCACCGGUUCGCGCGAGCCCUGAUAUGCGGCGUUCCCGACGGUUUUUCGGCGCGUUUUCACCAGAUCGGUCCCGGAUCCGUCGAUUCCAACGUUCUUGUGCUUUAUUUUGGUGUUUCCCAGGCGGCGGCCGAGCGUGACAUCUCCGAAACAGCUGUUGGAGAUCCUUUAGAACGGCGUCGUUUUUGAGGUUGGGAUCUUUAAUUGGCGCUAGUUUCCCUCAAGACGACACCGUUUUGGUGCUUCCCCCACCUGGAGAGUUGGGCUUUUUACCGAACUGGACCUCCUUUGGGCUCUCUUUUUUUUGUUUCUUUCUGGGCUUUUGGGUGUUGGGUCUUGAGAUUGGGCUUCAUUGAAAACAAAUCAAACUUCAAUGUCGUCUCUAAGUGGGUAUUAAAGAGGCUGUCAUAAUCCAGUCUUAAAAACUUAAUGGCUGUUGACAAAUGCCAUAGAGAGCACUGGGACUUACGCCCCUCACACACCCACUCCACUCCAUUUGAAAUCUGUUUGGUGGCUUUUCAUGGUCUGAGUUGUUGGGGUAGAGACAUUUUUGGCUUAUACAUUAUUUGGCUUAUACAUAUAUUGAGAUCACAAAAACAUAAAAAUCUAUCGAAAGAAAAUUUUUGUUAGAUUAAACGAAAAAAAAAUGAGGAAUUUGACACUUUGAGUUGUUCCAAAGAAUUUCUAGGAGCGCGAUUAAUUUAAACUGCA
rnacentral:lncRNA from 1 species